UGGGGAAUAUUGGGCAAUGGGCGCAAGCCUGACCCAGCAACGCCGCGUGAAGGAAGAAGGCUUUCGGGUUGUAAACUUCUUUUCUCAGGGACGAAGCAAGUGACGGUACCUGAGGAAUAAGCCACGGCUAACUACGUGCCAGCAGCCGCGGUAAUACGUAGGUGGCAAGCGUUAUCCGGAUUUACUGGGUGUAAAGGGCGUGUAGGCGGGACUGCAAGUCAGAUGUGAAAACCACGGGCUCAACCUGUGGCCUGCAUUUGAAACUGUAGUUCUUGAGUACUGGAGAGGCAGACGGAAUUCCUA
rnacentral:rRNA from 1 species